rnacentral:rRNA from 1 species
CAGCAGCCGCGGUAAUACGUAGGUGGCAAGCGUUAUCCGGAAUUAUUGGGCGUAAAGCGCGCGCAGGUGGUUUCUUAAGUCUGAUGUGAAAGCCCACGGCUCAACCGUGGAGGGUCAUUGGAAACUGGGAGACUUGAGUCCAGAAGAGGAAAGUGGAAUUCCAUGUGUAGCGGUGAAAUGCGUAGAGAUAUGGAGGAACACCAGUGGCGAAGGCGACUUUCUGGUCUGUAACUGACACUGAGGCGCGAAAGCGUGGGGAGCAAACAGGAUUAGAUACCCUGGUAGUCCACGCCGUAAACGAUGAGUGCUAAGUGUUAGAGGGUUUCCGCCCUUUAGUGCUGAAGUUAACGCAUUAAGCACUCCGCCUGGGGAGUACGGCCGCAAGGCUGAAACUCAAAGGAAUUGACGGG